rnacentral:rRNA from 1 species
GAUGAACGCUGGCGGCGUGCCUAAUACAUGCAAGUCGAGCGAACGGACGAGAAGCCUGCUUCUCUGAUGUUAGCGGCGGACGGGUGAGUAACACGUGGAUAACCUACCUAUAAGACUGGGAUAACUUCGGGAAACCGGAGCUAAUACCGGAUAAUAUUUUGAACCGCAUGGUUCAAAAGUGAAAGACGGUCUUGCUGUCACUUAUAGAUGGAUCCGCGCUGCAUUAGCUAGUUGGUAAGGUGACGGCUUACCAAGGCAACGAUGCAUAGCCGACCUGAGAGGGUGAUCGGCCACACUGGAACUGAGACACGGUCCAGACUCCUACGGGAGGCAGCAGUAGGGAAUCUUCCGCAAUGGGCGAAAGCCUGACGGAGCAACGCCGCGUGAGUGAUGAAGGUCUUCGGAUCGUAAAACUCUGUUAUUAGGGAAGAACAUAUGUGUAAGUAACUGUGCACAUCUUGACGGUACCUAAUCAGAAAGCCACGGCUAACUACGU